AUUGAACGCUGGCGGCAGGCCUAACACAUGCAAGUCGAACGAGUGGCGGACGGGUGAGUAAUGUCUGGGAAACUGCCCGAUGGAGGGGGAUAACUACUGGAAACGGUAGCUAAUACCGCAUACCAUCGGAUGUGCCCAGAUGGGAUUAGCUAGUAGGUGGGGUAACGGCUCACCUAGGCGACGAUCCCUAGCUGGUCUGAGAGGAUGACCAGCCAAACGGGAACUGAGGCACGGUCCAGAGUCCUACGGGGGGAAGCGGUGGGGAAUAGUGCACAAUGGGCGCAAGCCUGAUGCAGCCAUGCCGCGUGGAUGAAGAAGGCCUUCGGGUUGUAAAGUACUUUCAGCGAGGAGGCGUUACUCGCAGAAGAAGCACCGGCUAACUCCGUGCCAGCAGCCGCGGUAAUUC
rnacentral:rRNA from 1 species